CUCUUUCUUCCCUCCGCUCUCAUCCUGACUGCAUGCAUCGCCUCAGCACUACUGUGAACGGCUUGGAAGCACACCCACCCCUCUGCUUAGCAGCCAGAGAGAGAGAGAGAGCCCGAUCCUGUGAUUUCCAUGACGUAUCUCCCUUCUCUGACUGUGAGAUCCUCUGGGAUAUGUAUUUCUUCCACUCUUUUGAGAAGCAGGUAUCUGGAAGGUUGUCAAUCUAUGGAACUGGAGUAUAAACCCUUUAAUUUACCCAGGCUGUAGAUGAUGUUAUGAUGUGGAAUACCAAUAGCAAAAUUACAAAACCAUGACAAAAAUAAAGUAUAAUCUUACUUAGCUGAGUGCUUUUUGCACUUCAAGUCCAUUAAUCUUUGGUACGUUUUUAGAAUUGGCAAAGGGAUGAUAAUUUUGUUUAAAUAUUUAUAUUAAGGAUUUAAAUAUAACUGGUUUCCUAAGCUUUAGAGCUUAGACAUUUGUCUACUUUCUCUAAUUUUCUUCAAAGCAGAUACAGAGGCUGUUUCUAGCCAUUUAGAUAUAUAACUAAAAAAAAUAUGGUACAAAAAGGAAAUAGUUAUAACUGUUAUCAGUAACCAAUGUAUGCUGCUUACUGCACACAUUCAGAAUAACACAUUACUAGCCUGUCUACAGUUAGGUAGAAGAAAAUAACUUAGGUACCAAGCUUAUUAUUAAGUAGGUGAAAUAAACAUGGAAUUGAAAUAAAACCAUUUUUUCAUAACUGUAUUAUGUUCGAGAUUUUCAAGAGCAUAUUUACACAAAGUGGAAAAAGCAUUACUAAUUUCUAUAAUGAGUGUCCACUUGAUCUGAACUAUUGGUUAAAAAAAAAAAAAAAAAGCAUUCUAUUGAAAACAAACAAGCAAAACCAGCAGAAAUAAACUUGCAUAUAGUAAAAAUAAACAAAAAAAUGCCAUAGAAAAAUGAUCAAAGGAGUUGCUGGUUUCCUCAUAAUAGGUGUACCACAUAUAAACUAACCAAUGUUAACCAUAAGUUUACUAUUUCAAUAUGUAACUGGACCUCUUGAUCAAACUAUGUAUUGACCCUCAUUAUGUUUGAAAAUUUGAAAUUGCUGGCUGUAAGUUCACUCUACAAUUUGAUUUUAAUUGUGAAAAUAUUUGAUGUUAAGUGAUCUCUGGAAUGUAAGGUAGCAGGUUUGAACCACAAAUUAACAAAGAAGCAGCGGAUUGGUGAACAGUGUUGUGGCCAAUGAGAUGACCAAUCAAAGCCAGCCAAGUGUCCUCCAUCCUCACCCAAGUCCAAGAAAAUAGGAUGAUGACAUUCAUCAGAAAGAUCACCGAGAGAUAUGCAUGUGUAAAAGAGCUGAGACUUGGGGCAGGGGGAGGAAUGUCAGUCAUUAUGGGGACUCACUGUAAUAACCCAGCCUUUUCUUGGAUAUCUAAUGAAUAUGUAAGCAACUUGCUCUUUAAGUAUGUGCCUUUCUUGCCCUCCAGGAUGCAGGCUAGGUGGGAAUAUCCCCCCUGCAUCUGACGUGUGCGCAGCAAUGAUUAAACAUACUUACCUUAU
ensembl:lncRNA